rnacentral:rRNA from 1 species
UGCCAGCAGCCGCGGUAAUACGGAGGGGGUUAGCGUUGUUCGGAAUCACUGGGCUUAAAGAGUGCGUAGGCGGCUUAGAAAGUUGGGUGUGAAAGCCCUCGGCUCAACCGAGGAAUUGCGCUCAAAACUACUAAGCUUGAGGGAGGCAGAGGUAAGCGGAACUAAUGGUGGAGCGGUGAAAUGCGUUGAUAUCAUUAGGAACACCUGAGGCGAAAGCAGCUUGCUGGGUCUCUUCUGACGCUGAGGCACGAAAGCUAGGGGAGCAAACAGGAUUAGAUA